AUUCCUAAGACCACCCUUUUUGACCAAUGUAACAUGCAGUACCACCCGACUGAUGGCAUAUCCACCGUCUGCGGGCACACAGAGGAGAUUGAAAACGGAAGCACCGGUUUCACACUACCGGCCUACCGCAGCAGCAGCAGCGGUGGUGGCGGCGAUGAUGCAGUGGCCAGCACAAGCCACGCGAGCAUGGAGGAAGCAUCGGACAUAUUGCGAAACGAAACUAUGAAUGCUACUGAAACCGGAGGAAGGGAACAGCAAGAGUUGUGCGAUGUCUGUGGCAAUGUUUGCAGCAGACGGGAUGCAUUACACAGGCACGCCAACGAAGACAUGGGCGACGCAGCCCAAAUUCGCAAAGCACGUGAUCUAACGUCUGUGAAAAAUUUGAAGUUCGUAAGACACUGCUGGAAUACAACAGGCGAAAACCAUAAAUGCGGGGCCUGUGGUAAAUGGUUCCACCGGACUGAUCAGCUAGCUGAACACUACUUGACGCAUACAGAUAAGAAAUGUCACAAAUGCGAAAUAUGUGACAAAUCGUUUCGGAGUUCUCGCGAACGAGAUAGCCAUGUACGCACGCAUACUGGCGAGAAAUCCUACAGAUGCCAUAUACGCGAUAAAUCAUUCAGCCGGCAAGGUCAUCUUUACAUGCGCAAGCGCACGCAUACAGGCGACAAACCCUACACUUUCAAAACGUGUGGCAGAUGAUUCGCGCAGGCGGCGAAUCUUCGUACGCACUAGUACACUCAGACAGAGGAGAAAUCCCAUGUAUGCUACAAAUGUACUACAAGAUUCAAAGCCAAAGGAAGUCUCAAGCGUCAUCUCAACUUGUAUUGUGACAACAAAGCUGUCAUUUGCGAAAUACGUAAUCGAUGCUUUAAGAACCACUCGGGUCUCGCUCAUCACCGCAAAUGUAUGUACGGGGAUAAAGCGACGUAUGAGUGAUUUCGUUUCGCAGAAAAAAGAAACCAUCUAUGGACAUCUGUGCCAGAACAAUACUUGCUACUUAUGUGGAGAUUGAUUUGGAGACGCGGUUCAACUGCUGACACAUCUUGUGGUGCAAAGGGGCGGGCAGCCGUAAUAUUCUGAGUAGUGCGCAAGUUAGAUAACUGGCCCGCGGCUUUUUGCGUAACAACGUGAGUUAACCGUGCAGAGAAACAACGCUAACAUUUUUUCACAGGAUUGAGCAGUUAAAUAAACGCCUCGCCUGUACAGACCGGCUUCUUUUGACAUUUAGAAGGGCUGAGUAAAAUGCUGGUUUUUAGAAAUUUUUAGGUUUUAUGGAAAAAGACAAGACGUCCUCGCAAGAAUUGUUGAGCGUGCUUAAAUGUCGAAAUACAGUGCAGGUCAUGGCGAGCGCUCACUCUUUGCAGAACUAUGUUCUCCGCGAACGUAGCUUUAGCAAACUCGUGUGAAGACAAACGCUAAUAAGCUUCAAGUGUGUGUCUUGUGUAGUUAGAAGGUUGAAAUGUCCGCACAAGAUCCUUGACAAUUCGUUUGCUUAGAAAAGUUGUCCGAAGAAGUUUUAAUCAACUAUCCUUUUAGUGAUUCGACAGACAAUAUUGUAGGGACUUUUACGAGAAUAUAUAGCUAGAUUGUAUGCAUACGAAAAUUUAUUUCCUAUGCAUACUAUUUUUGUUUAUAUUCUAGUUCUCUUUUUGGCUGUUGCAUUCUUACCGAAGAACUUUGUUACGUACCAUAAACUAAGCUGAUGACAGCAGUGCGACUAUUAAAUUCAGAUGGUUCGGAGCUUCACUGUAUGAUACGGUCUCCAUCUGCAAAAUUUUUAGUUCUUGUUUUAUUGUGCCAUAACGUGUGUCAAUUUUAAACGGCAGUUUUUAUCCUCUAUGAAGUCGUGUGUACUGACUCUGCCUGCUCUCUAGUUGUAACUGUAGAAUCUUUUUAGUCGAAUGUGACAAACGCAUCCGUGCGGGCAUUGAUAUGACAACAUGCAUUUAUUAUGCAUGUUGCGCGUACUUGUAUGUCACUUUACAUUGAGCGCAUUUCAACCGCUAACAAAUGCUAAGUUACCAGUCAAUGCAUGACGCGCCUGCAUGUAUCAGAACAGUCUCGAAAUUUCUCGCUGAUAAUAUCGUUUGCCUGCGUUGUAGUGAAACUUUUUGUGUAGAAAGAUGUGCAUUCUUAAGGAUGCGCGAGCUCCAGCGAUCACGGUGGAAACUUAGUCGGAUCUCGUGGAAAUUAGCCACAAACCACGUUUUGGACGACCAACGCAUGUGUCCGGAAUU